ensembl:snRNA U6 U6 spliceosomal RNA
AUGCUCACUUUAGCACAUGUACUAAACACUGGUCACUAUACAGAGAGAAGAUUAGCACGACCCUUGUGCAAAGAUGACACAGAAAUUUAUGAAAUGUUCAAUAUUAAA